GCCCCCUUCGUCUAGUGGCCCAGGAUAUCGGAUUCUCAGUCCGAGGACAGGGGUUCGACUCCCCUAGGGGGUA
rnacentral:tRNA from 1 species